GGGCUCACACAAGCGGUGGAGGAUGUGGCUUAAUUCGAGGCUACGCGAAGAACCUUAUCCUAGUCUUGACAUGUAUGGAUUAACCCUGUGAAAGCAGGGCCACGCCUUCGGGUGGAACAUACACAGGUGCUGCAUGGCUGUCGUCAGCUCGUGUCGUGAGAUGUCGCGUUAAGUCGCUUAACGAGCGAAACCCUUGUCUCUAGUUGCCAGCGCGUAAUGGCGGGGACUCUAGAGAGACCGCCGGCGUUAAGCCGGAGGAAGGUGGGGAUGACGUCAAGUCCUCAUGGCCCUUAUGACUAGGGCUGCACACGUCCUACAAUGGUCGGUACAGAGAGCAGCCACUACGCGAGUAGGAG
rnacentral:rRNA from 1 species